AGUGAACGCUGGCGGUAGGCCUAACACAUGCAAGUCGAACGGCAGCACAGUAAGAGCUUGCUCUUACGGGUGGCGAGUGGCGGACGGGUGAGGAAUACAUCGGAAUCUACUUUUUCGUGGGGGAUAACGUAGGGAAACUUACGCUAAUACCGCAUACGACCUACGGGUGAAAGCAGGGGAUCUUCGGACCUUGCGCGAUUGAAUGAGCCGAUGUCGGAUUAGCUAGUUGGCGGGGUAAAGGCCCACCAAGGCGACGAUCCGUAGCUGGUCUGAGAGGAUGAUCAGCCACACUGGAAAUGAGACACGGUCCAGACUCCUACGGGAGGCAGCAGUGGGGAAUAUUGGACAAUGGGCGCAAGCCUGAUCCAGCCAUAACGCGUGGGUGAAGAAGGCCUUCGGGUUGUAAAGCCCUUUUGUUGGGAAAGAAAAGCAGCAGGUUAAUACCCCGCUGUUCUGACGGUACCCAAAGAAUAAGCACCGGCUAACUUCGUG
rnacentral:rRNA from 1 species